rnacentral:tRNA from 1 species
GCCCAGGUGGUGGAAUUGGUAGACACGCUAUCUUGAGGGGGUAGUGGCGUAAGCCGUGCCGGUUCAAGUCCGGCUCUGGGCACCA